rnacentral:rRNA from 1 species
GAUGAACGCUGGCGGCGUGCCUAAUACAUGCCAGUCGAGCGAACAGACGAGGACCUUGCUCCUCUGUCGUUAGCGGCGGACGGGUGAGUAACACGUGUAUAACCUACCUAUAAGACUGGGAUAACUUCGGGAAACCUGAGCUAAUACCGGAUAAUAUAUUGAACCGCAUGGUUCAAUAGUGAUAGACGCUUUUGCUGUCUCUUAUAGAUGGAUCCGCGCCGCAUUAGCUAGUUGGUAAGGUAACGGCUUACCAAGGCAACGAUGCGUAGCCGACCUGAGAGGGUGAUCGGCCACACGGGAAGUGAGACACGGACCAGACUACUACGGGAGGAAGCAGUAGGGAAUGGGCCGAAAUGGGCGAAAGCCUGACGGAGCAACGCGGAGAGAGGGAAGAAGGUGUUCGGAUCGUAAAACACUGUUAGGAGGGAAGAACAAAUGUGUAAGUAAAUAUGCACGUGUUGACGGUACCUAAUCAGAAAGCAACGGCUAACUACGUG